UUGUUGUUUUCUGUCUUCUUGCAUUUGGGGGCUGUUGGUUUGUUCUUGUUGCUGCAGCUGUGACAUCAGGAACAACGUUCCAACAGGUUCUGUGUUGAUCCAGAAACCAGAGGAUCCUGCAAUAUGUGAACACGUGAACAACUUGAGCUAGCUCUGUCCUGCGGAAGGAGGCCUUUAGGGACAGUCCUGCCAAAGAGACAUUUUACCCACAAUGCUGAAUAUGCUUUACAUGGCUUAGAAGACAUUAGAAGGCAUCCACCAUUUCAAUUAUUUUUUUCAUUUUUUCAUGGAAGUUCAAUUAGCCCAAAGAAGAGAGAAAGAUGCAGAGAGAGUACAAGUAGAUAGAACA